GAAAAGUUUUCUUCCUAUGGUUUUCUCUCUCUGGUUUUCACGAGGGUUUUCUCUCUAAAAUUAGACAAUUUUCAUCAUUGGUUGAAAUAAUCUUUCAUUUAGUUUAUAGAUUAGAAUUAGAGUUGUAUGUUGGGCUUUCUGUUUGCUGUAUUCAAUGUUUCAGGCUUCCAUUUGAGCCGAUAAAUCUGUAAAGCAAGACAAUGAGGUUUUUCUUUUAUUUUUGUAUAGUAUAGACUAAUUUUUGGGAGAACCUUUCGAUCGAUGACCCUAUGUGGUCUGAGUUUUGGUUGUAUUGAUAUUUAACUCUCUCUUGGAAGGUUCUUGUACAUAGUGACCGACUCUUUUACCCCUGAGCCCCCUAGGUUUGGCUUGGCUGAUCUAGGUGAACAUUUUUGGUGUUGUUUCUAUUAUUG
rnacentral:lncRNA from 1 species